UGUGGCCUCUCACAGUAUAAAAGCAGUAAGAAAAGCAGUCAGUUCACUGCUGUGUCUGUGGAUCUGCACUCCAGCACUCAGUUUGGAUCUGAUCUGAAAUUGCAAAAUGUACGGCAUGAACUCAGGAAACCGCUGUUAUCCUCAGCCAAUGGGAGGAGGAGGAUACCCUCAGUGUCCUCCAGGUCCUGCACCUCCUCAGAUGUGUCCUCCUCAGCCCUGCCCUCCUCAGUUUGGUGGCCCAUAUGUGUGCUACCCUGCAGGUGGAUUUGGCGGUUCAGGGUCUGGCUACUGUCCUCAGCCAAUGCCACCCUGCCCUCCUCCGCCUUCAUAUGUGUGCUAUCCCACACCCCCACGUUGUCCAUGGUGAGGACCAGGGCCUGGUGGAUGUGGCUGUAGGUCCUUGGCAGUCAGGCAGCUCCUGCAGCAGCGACUCUGAGGUGAAGACGUCUGGAUGGGAGGAGACACAAGACGAGCUGCCGCCUGGAAACCUUCAUCCUGCUGCCGAUUCUCAUCACGAUCAGUUCAGUUCAGCGCUUCACAUUCAAAUUUCUCUGUUUUAAAGCUUCUGUGUAAUGGGACGUCAUGUUUGCUGUGUUUGUUUCAUGUAUCAGACGCUCAUCGUAAUUGCAUUCAUUUCAUUCAAGCAGUUCAUUUCUCCAGCACUUCAACCUCUUCAUUCUCCUUCUUCUGUAAUCUUAUGUCAAUUAA